rnacentral:rRNA from 1 species
UACGGAGGAUGCGAGCGUUAUCCGGAUUUAUUGGGUUUAAAGGGUGCGUAGGCGGGCUGUUAAGUCAGCGGUAAAAGCCCGGGGCUCAACCCCGGCGAGCCGUCGAAACUGGCUGUCUUGAGAUGUCGAGAGGUAUGCGGAAUGCGCAGUGUAGCGGUGAAAUGCUUAGAUAUUGCGCAGAACUCCGAUUGCGAAGGCAGCAUACCGGCGGCGAUCUGACGCUGAGGCACGAAAGCGUGGGUAUCGAACAGG